UGGGGAAUAUUGGGCAAUGGGCGCAAGCCUGAUCCAGCAACGCCGCGUGAAGGAUGAAGUAUUUCGGUAUGUAAACUUCGAAAGAAUAGGAAGAAUAAAUGACGGUACUAUUUAUAAGGUCCGGCUAACUACGUGCCAGCAGCCGCGGUAAUACGUAGGGACCAAGCGUUGUUCGGAUUUACUGGGCGUAAAGGGCGCGUAGGCGGCAAUUCAAGUCAUCUGUGAAAUCUCCGGGCUUAACUCGGAACGGUCAGAUGAUACUGCUUUGCUAGAGUGCAGAAGGGGCAAUCGGAAUUCUUGGUGUAGCGGUGAAAUGCGUAGAUAUCAAGAGGAACACCUGAGGUGAAGACGGGUUGCUGGGCUGACACUGACGCUGAGGCGCGAAAGCCAGGGGAGCAAACGGGAUUAGAUACCCCCGUAGUCCCUGAGCGGGCUGGCAAGGCGCAU
rnacentral:rRNA from 1 species